ACGAACGCUGGCGGCGUGGAUAAGACAUGCAAGUCGAACGCUGAUUACGAGGGGGGUAGCAAUAUUUCGUGGUCGGAGUGGCGCAAGGGUGCGUAACACGUGGGGUAAUUGGCCGUGAAGGCCCGGAAUAACUCGCUGAAAGGCGAGCUAAUACCGGAUGUGAUCUUCGGGAGGCCUCUCCUGAACCUUAAAUGCUGGGGACCGUAAGGCCUGGCACUUCACGAUAAGCCCGCGGCCUAUCAGCUAGUUGGUGAGGGGGGGGUAACGGCCUCACCAAGGCUAAGACGGGUAGCCUGGUGCUGAGAGGAGGCGACCAGCCACACUGGAACUGAGACACGGUUCCAAGACACCUACGGGUGGCAGCAGUCGAGAAUUUUUCACAAUGGGCGCAAGCCCUGAUGGAGCGAACGCCGCGUGGGGGGAUGAAUGGCUUCGGCCCGUAAACCCCUGUCAUUUGCGACAAACCUUGUUAUUUAAAAGAUGACGAGCUGAUUGUAGCGAAAGAGGAGAGGAGACGGCUAAACUCUCGUGCCAGCAGCCGCGGGUAAUAACAGAAGGUCCCGAGCGUUGUUCGGAUUCACUGGGCGUAAAGGGUGCGUAAGGUGGUCGGUAAGUCCGAGGUGAAAUCUCCAAGCUUAACUUGAACUGCCUUGGAUACUAUUCGGCUGGGGGUUGGAGGGGGGGACUGGAAUGCUUGGUGUAAGCAGUUGAAAUGCGUAGAUAUCAAGCGGAAACACCAGUGGCGAAGGCGAAGUCCCUGGACAACUCCUGACACUGAGGCACGAAAGCUAGGGAGCAAACAGGAUUAGAUACCCUGGUAGUCCUAGCCGUAAACGGGUGCGUCAUUUGCUGCUGUAAAAGGAAUCGACCCCUUUUGUGGCGAAGCUAACCGCGUUAAAUGCGCCGCCUGGGAAGUACGGUCGCAAGAUAUAAAACUCAAAGAAAUUGACGGGGGCCUGCACAGGCGGUGGAGGUAUGUGGCCUCAAUCUUCGAUUGCAACGCGAAGAAAGACCUUACCUGGCCUUGACAUGUAUCUAGUAGAAGGCUGAACGCCUGACGAGGGGUGGGAGCAAUACCAGGAUACACAGGUGCUGCAUGGGCUGUCGUCAGCUCGUGUCGUGAGAUGUUGGGUUAAGUCCCGCAACGAGCGCAACCCCUGCGUCCAGUUGCCACCCCUUAACCGGGAAGCACUUUGGACGGACUGCCUCAUUUUAAUGAGGAGGAAGGGUGGGGAUGACGUCAAGUCAGUAUGGCCCUUACGGCCAGGGCUGCACACGUACUACAAUGCCCGGCCCAGAGGGAAGCAAGACCGCAAAGGUGGAGGCCAUCCCAAAAACCGGGCCCAGUUCAGAUUGUCGUCUGCAACUCGACGGCAUGAAGCUUGGAAUCGCUAGUAAUGGCGCAUCAGCUACGGCGCCGUGAAUACGUUCCCAGGCCUUGUACACACCGCCCGUCACAUCAUGAAAGCCCGGUUGUACCCGAAGUCGCCCUUUAACAGGUGCCGAAGGUAUGCUGGUGAUUGGGAUG
rnacentral:rRNA from 1 species